UCCCUCGUGGCGCAAUUGGCUAGCGCGUCAGACUGUUAUUUCUCGGUGAAAUAGGUAUCUGGAGGCUGUAAGUUCGACCCUUACCGAGGGAG